rnacentral:lncRNA from 1 species
GUGUACCCAGGAGAUAGUGUCUCCUUCAUAUCUGAACAGAACACAGAGUGCUUCUGGCACCUUAGAGGCCAACAGCUCUCUGGAAACAUGGUCCUGAAAAGGGACCCAGGGUGCUGGGGCAAAGACUGGAACAGGGAUCCCGGGAAGGGCUAGGAUAGGACAGGACAUCACAUAGUGACUGUAGCCAGCACAGGUCACACAGCUUUCCAUUGCUGGAGGACUUGGGGCUACAGAUGAGUGGGUAAAAUUAUGUUACUACCAUCAAGGCUAGAAGAGUCAGAUGCUUUUUGGGGACAUCAGUGACAGCUCAUUUGUUAGACCCCUGCCUAUGAAGGGUUAGGGAUCUGAGUGGCAGGAAAUGGACAUGAUAACCCCUCCAGGCCCAAGGUUUACAGGUGAGAAGGCCAGGAUGGAAUGAAGCUAUGCUUAUUUGCUAAACAGUCUCUGAGUUCCCAUGAUGCACCAGGUGCCUCUAGGGGCUGAGUGGAGAGGCUAGAAGGCCAAAGGGGCCGUAUUGGCCAUUUCACUGAGCUGGCCUGUAACUACAUGGGGCACAUAACAAUGAAUGUCAAGGCUCUGUACUCUGGAACAAAAGUGAGCUGGGCUUGAACCCAUAAGAACGUAGGUGAACAGCUCAGUCCUCCCUCAGCUGGUGUGUUGGCCCAGUCCUGUAAAAUGAGACUCACAGCGAGGCUCACUCAGGGUUAGUCUGGACACUAAAAUGAAAACGGUUCACAGGACUUAGCUCUCUAAGUUUGUCGGCCAUUUCUGUUCCUGGGUUAGUGGUCUCUCUGAAAGCCAUACCAUGUCACAAAGAAUUGUAGAAAAAAUGAAUCAGCUGUAGCAGAGACGGGCAGGAGGCAGUGUGGUGGCCCCAGGAACCGUGAUGCAUGCUGGCCACACUUGAGAGACCUCAGCAGCCUGACUCUCCAGACAGCGGCAAAGGACCUGCGGGUGGCAGACUCUCAUAAUGACUCUGACUCUGCACCUCGGCUAGCAUCAAGAACCGUAUUUGUCUGUCCAGGAAAUGACAGAUCCUGGGACGCCCCUCUCUGCAGGGAAGGCCUGGGUAGCUGAGCAUGUAACCCUGACUAAAACCCACAUCAGGGCCAACUGAGUGCCUGUGUGAAACAGGCCAAUGCGCCCAGAAGGACCCACAGCUGCAGGACCUGGCACCGGUGUUCUAAAGGAGCCUCCAGUACCAGCUGUGUGACCCCAGACAAGCCACAGAACCUCCUGGGUCUCUGUUCACUCAUCUGUGAAGCUGAGAACAUGACACUUUCCAUGACUAAUAAAC